GGCUGUCUUUGAAGAACCGUUCCAUUCCAUUUGUUAUUUAGUUUUUCGCUUUGGAACUGCAGAGAGAAUUUGGGAGACGAAGUACAGGAAGAAAUUGCUAGCGCUGAAUAUUUGAUUUAACAAAGCGUUCCCAUCUGUCUGACCUCAGGGCGGCUCACCCUAUUAGUCCACCUCAGAAGAGAGUACAAAGUGUUUCUUUUAGUAGCAGGGCAAUUUAACUAGUGAGGCCAGAGCAGCAGCUGCUGCCGGUCACUAGACAUGAAGGUUAUCAUCUUUGUUUAGGAUUCACCUUCCUUCGCUCUUGCCAUUUCGUUCCGGAAGCUGCCAAGAUGGCUAUCUUUUCAUUUAUUUGGAAGAAAUGACCGCUUGGCUAGAAGAUGUCAUUUCAUUAACAUCUGAACAAUGAGCUUGCUAAAGAGCAGCUGAGAUACAAACAGGCCUCCAAGGCAGGAUUUUAAGCAAAUCAGGACCCAGGGAUAUCUGUACCAGUCAAGAUGAUUCUGUUGCUCUGGGGACACUCCAAGCAGAACAGCCUCACGGAGACAAAAAUAGUCCUAAGAGUGAGCAGCAUAUGCCCAUUCUUCCUUCAAAGUGUUAUAAUUUAAUGUGCUUGGCCUGUCAACAAAAUUGCGCACGGUUGCUCUGCAUAAUAUAUCUU
rnacentral:lncRNA from 1 species